AUUGAACGCUGGCGGCGUGCUUAACACAUGCAAGUCGAGCGGCAGCGCGGGGGCAACCCCGGCGGCGAGCGGCGAACGGGUGAGUAAUGCUUCGGAAUCUUCCUAGUAGUGGGGAAUAACAUGAGGAACCCAUGCUAAUACCGCAUACGAUCUACGGAUGAAAGCAGGGGAUCGCAAGACCUUGCGCUAUUAGAUGAGCC
rnacentral:rRNA from 1 species